CAUGUUAGAUGAUGAAGAACAAGAUUCAGAACCACAGCAGAGUUCAUAAGAACCCAUUCAGGCCCUCGAUGAAGAUGCUGAUGAAGAUGCCAGGCUGAUCUUUGUAGGGCUGGAGAAUGUAAAAGAAGAUGCUAAGCUGAUCUUUAUUGGAGAAACUUCAACUUUCCAACCAGCCAACUAGAACAUUUUGAACAGUCACCCCAGGUUCACGGUUUAAAAAAAAAAAAAAGCAUGACCAACUUAGAGAGACCACGACUCAAAGAUUGCAGCCUUCAAGUCCUUCCUUCUGCCCCCACAUCAGAGGCAGUGGUUGUCUUGUUGGCGUCUCCAGCUGAAUCAAAAUCAACAGAUAAGCCUACUGCUGUUGAGCCUUUGCUCGAGUCUGAUUAUAAAAGUAAUUCACCACAGCUUGUGCCUAGUAGCUCGUCAACGUGUUGUUUGCCUCUGGUCACACUCUCAAGUUCAGAGAAUCAUCCAGUAAAGGCAGAGCUUUCAGGAGAUUUGAAUGGAAGGAAGUUUGUAUGUGCCAUUUUUCCAUAAAUCCACAGAGGCCUGAACAUAGUAUUGAGAUUGUAGAACCACUUUCUUCAGUUUUGCCCCCUUUCCAGUACCUUCCACACCUCGAAUGUACAACAGAGGACACCUUCCUUUGAUGCUCCCAACUCUCUGAGCCGUCUUGUGAAUGGGGCACCUCCUUCAGAGGACUCUGUCCACCCUCAUCAGGAAAGUGGAUUGGUGGAAGCAGACUUUUCAAGUCUAGCAAGUCAAGAGACUUUGAUCCCAAGAAAAGAAGUUUGACCCUGUUACUUAGUGACUUUUAUUAUGGAAAGUAUAAAGGAGAUGGGAAACCAGAACAAAAAACUUUUAAAUGCCCCAGCUGCUCAAAAGCUCUAAAAAAUGUUAAAUUUAUGAAUCACACCAAACAUCAUUUGGAGCGGGAGAGGCAGAGGAGUUGGGACGCCUGGGAGAGCCACGCCACCUGUCUGCGCUGCCACCGGCAGUUCGGUUCCCUGUUCCAGCUGGAGUGCCACACUGAGAACCUCGUUUGUCCAUUUUGUCUUAAGAUCUCCAAAACUGGGAUGCCAUACAUGUGCCAUUACAGGGGCCACUGGGAAAGGAAAGGCCACCAGUACUCCCAGUGCUGGCUACAGUUUUUAACCUUCAAGGA
rnacentral:lncRNA from 1 species